GGGGGUGAAUUGGCUUCGACGCGGAUAGUGAAACUCAAGGUGCAUGUCGAGGAUGCAGGCUCCCUCGUAAAACCGUCUGCAAAUUGUUAGUUGCGAACGACGACAACUACGCUCUCGCGGCCUAAACCCCGCGUGCGGUCGACCAGCUCGGGCCUGAACGGCUGACUCGACUGUAACUUAACCAGGAUAAGCACAAGUAUUGUUCCGCUGCUUGUGUCGAAAAACACAGGAACUCGCCAGUCGUCUUCCCUGCCCGUCGGGUAGCGCCUGGUUAAAAUAAAAGGCGUGGAUAAACAUGUAGAGCCAAGAGCGGAUCAUCUGCGGACGCGGGUUCAAGUCCCGCCACCUCCACCA
rnacentral:tmRNA from 1 species